GCACAUUGCGUCGAGCACACGGAGGGCAUUGUGUGAUUUCUUGUAAAUGGCAGCUGCGAGCACACCGAGGUCGCGGCCAGUGGCGCUCUCAUGGCGGAAGAAGGUGUCGCCGAUGUCAAAGCAGUGACCCCUUUCAGAUAUGCAGCAUUUUGUUGAGGUUGGGAAUUUGGGGGUUUGGUGGGUAAAAGGGGUUACGGGUUUAAGGGAAAGAGAUAACAUGGCGGGAAAGUGUACAAGAAACGAGGAAUUACAGUAAUUCUAAGAGACUAUCUACUUCUCAAUCAACAAACUUUAGAAGGAUGCUACAUGUAUCAAAUUUUUUUACCUAAUUUCUUAUCGAUUAAUCAUAAUAGGAGGACGGAAACCAUAUUUUGAAAUUUUUUUAAUCACAUAGGUCUCACAUGCAUGUGAGAGGAGGUAAACAAUUCGAUACACUUUUAGGUGUAUAAGUAGAAUUAUUCCUUUAGGAGUGGCUUGGCUUUAACCAUGUAAGCACUAGUCUGGAUAUGAACUUCGCUUGUGUCCGAGGCUUGGCUUGCCCCUAAAUUCAUGAGCUUAUGAGUAGAGUUUAGCAAGGCCUGCCUUAGGGCUAAGCCAGCUAGGCAACUGCCCAGAGCCUCAAAAAAUAUGUCUUGGCCCAAGGUCUCAAAACUCUUAGUAAUACCCGUAGUCCAUGCCCAUCUAAGCCUAGCACCAAACAGAAAAUUAAGCCAUUAAGGAAAUUGAUCGGACACUGCAAGAAGGAAAUUGAAGGGAUCGAUUCAACCAAAAGGUAAGUUGUCUUCUUCAAUUCAAAAUUCUCAAAUCUCCUCUCCAAAAAGUUUUCAGUUUUCGUAUAAGUUUUCUACGUCAGUGGUCCUCCCAAAAUUUUUCUGUUUUACAAAUGGUGUCUUGCUCAUCUUGACGUUUCUAGCCCUCCUCAAGUGCUCAUCUAUUUAAGUAUUAACUAUUAAGUAUAAUUGGUUUAUCAUAUAAUAAUUUAAUUAAUAGCAGUCGCCAAUCAGGAGAACUCUUUUGAAUUCUAUCCUUGGAUUUUUGGAUUUUAGAAUGAUGAUUAUGGGUAGAAUUGUAGAUGGAUGAUAAAAUAGAGAGCACUUUAAACACCGUAUGCAUAAUAGAGAGCAUCUUUAAAUUUAGAGAGUGAUUUUUUUUAUGUACUUCAAUAAGCUCUCUACUUUGAUUCUUUAUUUUUAUUUUUUCCAAAGAACAUUUAGUAAUUCUCCACAUGUUUUAUUUAACUAUAUUUAAAUUAUAGAGCAUUGAAAUUUGUAAUAUAUUAAAUGCAAUCAUUAUACAUUUAGAAUAGAGAGUGAGUUAGGCUCUCUAAAUUUGGAGAGUCAAACACACUCUCUAUUUUAAAAAGUUAAAAUAAAGAGUCUCUUGAAAUUUAUUUUUAAGUAUUGAUUCUCUAAAAUAAAAAGUGUCUUGUUUUUAAAAAGUUUUUUGGAUAUACGUUUACAUGUACAACUCUUUUAAAAGUGAAUAAUAAAAAAAAAUUACAAAUUACGUACCAAAUGUCAUUUACCUAGUCAGAUAUUAUUUAGGCAUAAUUAUCUUGGAGUCAAAACUCUACAUCUUCCAAAUCAUUUUAUAUGAGUCUUGAUCUCUACUUAAACAAAAUUUUGCCAUCUACACUAAAAGUAGACUCUGACGUCACAGUACGAUAAGUGAAACAAUUGAAUAUUGUUUCAAGUUUGUUCUCCAAAAAUAAAUCAAGUCUAAACCUUUUUGCAUGUACUGGCUCUACCAUUAUCAAAAGCUUGUUUUUUACUAAGUGUUAUCGUAAUAAAGAUUAGAACUUUCCUAUUUCUGUCGAACUCGUUUUGAAUUAAUUUAUCCCAUCUUGCACGAUUACAAAUACAAUGGAUAUAAAAAAGAAUACCACCAAAAUCCCUGAGAAAGGGAAAAAGAUUAGAUGAAUAGAGAAUCCAGCAAAAACAAUAUGAUAUUACAAUGUCUUGAAUACCUCGUCUAGUUUGAUGUAUCCAAAAGGCAAUUUAGGGUCACUUUCAUCCAUCAUCUGAUUUAACAACUUUUCGAGUUGUUUUCCUGUGCCAUUGCCCGUCCAACCCCAUUGCUCAGCCAAAUUUAGCAUUUCAGUAAGAAAGGGUGCACUGUGAAGAGGUCCAGUCCAGAGAGGCCCAGAAACAAUGAGUGAACCCGGAACCUGAAAAGAAGUAUCCAUCAAACCCCAAUGAAUGCAUAAACUGCUGUGUGUUCUUGUAUCAUCUAAAAAAUAAAUAAAGAAGAAUUCAUGAAGAAAGCAUGGUGAUUCUAAGAGCAAUGGUUAGAUUUUUAAGAUAAAGAAAGUGUGCAGCCCGAUGCUCGGGCAUUCAAGAAUGAUACUUGGAUGGUCUACUAGAAUGUCAAAGUAUACAUGAUUAGAGACAUUGCCAACACUCAACAGUACGGGAUACCUUUCAUAUAUUUGUAAGCCUAGAAUGUAACAAGAGGAACAGAAGGCGUACGUUUGCAUUGCAAGAGCAGCCAAUUGCACUAAGUUUAUCCCAUGAAAUUGCAUAAGAAUUUCCACAUCGACUGCAGUAACUGAUGAAACUGUAGUGCCUGUAACAAGCAGCAAUAUAUUCAAGAUUCAGAAAGGUAAAACAAAGGAGGAAAUCAACAAAAUCACAGUGAUCUAAGACCUGUUAUCGGGAUGCUUCCCACGCCUAACACGAAGCAUUGCUCGAAAGAUGGGCCCGUGGUACGAAUAGUAUGAGAAAAGUGGUGCAACAUGAUAACCCAAAACAGAAGCCUCCCUUACAGCUCCACCAAUAAGCAUUCUUAAACCAAUCUCAUUCGAGUAAGGCAUAGGCCGAACAUAAGCUCCAUAUGCAGCCAAAGAGCUGGGAAGUGAUUAACAAAAAAAAAAAAAAAAAAACCUAUUACAAUCGUGUUUCCAAAAGAUUUGGAAGCAAAAACACUCAAAUUCAUUCAAUCAGCACACUCAAAUAAAUCAUAGAAACCUCAACUAUAACUGGCAAUCAUCAAAAAAUCUAAACUAAAUUGUGCUGUAGUCAUUUAAUUUUGGGAAGUAUAUAGUGUUGUCCCAGUAGUUUCAAAAUAACCGUUUACACUAGCACUCAGAAGUAGGCAAAACCAGGAAUAUAAUUCAGUAGGGGUGUGAUGUACCACAACUACACUGCUCUACUAAAAUUACAUUGACAUCAAAUGAACAAGAGCUGCAGGAAAAGAGGAGUUUUUUCAAGUUAAAGAACACGAACCAACAAGAAACAAAACAUUGUGCAGUAGGUAGAGGCCGAAGUUGAUAAGCUCAUAAAAGGGCUCCCAAUUUUGAUGAUACUAAUAGAAUCUUAAAAGAAUAAAAAUUUUGAAACAUGUAGAACGAGACAUCAAGAUAAUCAAAACUUGAUACCCUCUAAAUACUGGGAUGUAAAGCAUUAAACUCCAUCAGAAAUCUCACAUUGGUGAAUCAACAUCAUCUGCCCCAAAAUUUUCCAACUGGCGACAUUUGGCUAAGCCAUACAAUCACAAGUUAAUAUACACGGAAUACCAUAUGAAAUUUUUCAUCUGAUUAAACAACACAAUGGCAUAACAAAUAGCAAACCUUACAAAAUUCCUCCAAAAUCAAUCAUUUCCUUAUUUUUCUUAAUUUUCUUUCAGCUAAAACACUAGGCAAUCACCGAUACACUAUCAUACCUAAGCAAAAUACAAGUUUAGCAUAUGAUAAAAAUUGUCAAUAGAUAAAACAACUUCCUGAAGAUCAGCAUAUUGAAAGGUAUUCAAGAAACUUAUCGAAUCAAUUACACAAGUAUUUUAUCUUACUGUAGAGGCCGGUGUCCACCAGAAGAGAAACCAUCAGUGGAAGUGAGGUAUAAAAGCCCAUCCAAUUUCACAGCACCCAAAGCAGACCUCAAGAAACUCGAAUCACUACCAAACGAAUCAAUAUCAAUAAAAUCAAAGUAAUCCCUCCUCAAAUAACACUCUGUCAAAACCCGGUUCGCAUCCGAAUGCGUAAUAACCCAUCUCUUAUUUUCUCCAUACCCCUUACCCGCCCUCUCCAAAUUACCCGUAAUAACACUCCCAUAUUCCUCAUUCGCAUCAUUAGCCAUCACAAAAUCAGCAUCAGCCUCCGCCAGAUAGCGUAAAGAUCUGAUUCCACAGCCGCACAUUGCGUCGAGCACACGGAGGGCAUUGUGUGAUUUCUUGUAAAUGGCAGCUGCGAGCACACCGAGGUCGCGGCCAGUGGCGCUCUCAUGGCGGAAGAAGGUGUCGCCGAUGUCAAAGCAGUGACCCCUUUCAGAUAUGCAGCAUUUUGUUGAGGUUGGGAAUUUGGGGGUUUGGUGGGUAAAAGGGGUUACGGGUUUAAGGGAAAGAGAUAACAUGGCGGGAAAGUGU
rnacentral:lncRNA from 1 species